rnacentral:rRNA from 1 species
GUAGGGGGCAAGCGUUGUCCGGAUUUAUUGGGCGUAAAGAGCGUGUAGGCGGCCAGAUAGGUCAGCUGUGAAAACUCGAGGCUCAACCUCGAGAUGUCGGCUGAAACCAUCUGGCUAGAGUCCGGAAGAGGAGAAUGGAAUUCCCGGUGUAGCGGUGAAAUGCGCAGAUAUCGGGAAGAACACCCGUGGCGAAGGCGGUUCUCUGGGACGGUACUGACGCUGAGACGCGAAAGCGUGGGGAGCGAACAGGAUUAGAUACCCUGGUAGUCCACGCCGUAAACGAUGGGAACUAGGUGUGGGCGGUGUCGACUCCGUCCGUGCCGAAGCUAACGCAUUAAGUUCCCCGCCUGGGGAGUACGGCCGCAAGGCUA